ACGAACGCUGGCGGCGUGCUUAACACAUGCAAGUCGAACGGUGACCCUCGGUGCUUGCACUGGGGUGAUCAGUGGCGAACGGGUGAGUAACACGUGAGUAACCUGCCCCAGACUCUGGAAUAACCCCGGGAAACCGGAGCUAAUACCGGAUAUGACACCAAUCCGCAUGGGUAUGGUGUGGAAAGUUUUUCGGUCUGGGAUGGACUCGCGGCCUAUCAGCUUGUUGGUGAGGUAAUGGCUCACCAAGGCGACGACGGGUAGCCGGCCUGAGAGGGCGACCGGCCACACUGGGACUGAGACACGGCCCAGACUCCUACGGGAGGCAGCAGUGGGGAAUAUUGCACAAUGGGCGAAAGCCUGAUGCAGCGACGCCGCGUGAGGGAUGACGGCCUUCGGGUUGUAAACCUCUUUCAGCAGGGAAGAAGCGCAAGUGACGGUACCUGCAGAAGAAGCACCGGCUAACUACGU
rnacentral:rRNA from 1 species